AAGAGAAAAAGAAAGUUGAUUACAUUGAAUGCCUUGAUGAGAAAGGUAUUAAAGUAAUAGGCGAGGAAGAAAAAAAAAGAUGAACCUCUAAUUAUUCCAUCACUAGGUUCAAAAACCUGGCAUGAUAGAAUUCUUAAUAAAAUAGAUGCAGACAUUUUCCUUCCGAAGGCAGAUAAGGAAAAGGUAGGAGACGCUAGUGUUAACGAGGCAAAAUCAAAGCUAUCUAAUGGAAAAACAUCGCCGAUAAUAUCAAUAAAGAAAGAGCCAGUUGAAGAUUGUGAAAAUAAAGUUGUUACUUUAGAAGAGCAAGCGACGAAAGAAAUCGUUGAGGAACUUCAGUCAAAGAAUAAAUAUGAAACUAAAACAAAUGAUUUAACUUUACCUUUAGUAGAAGAUGAAUCAUUAAGAGGCAAAGAACAGUCUACGUUAGAAGAUUAUGAAAAAAUUCCUAUUGAUGCUUUUGGUGUAGCAAUGUUAAGGGGAAUGGGAUGGCAACCAGGAAAGGGAAUU